UAACUGUUGGACAGUCAGGAUUGACGUCAGGCUUGCUGUAUAGCUGGAAUUGAUUAUCAAGACAACAAAAAGCCAUAUGAUCAUCACCAAACGACCAAGUGUGCUCAUUGUCUUUUCUCUAUGCGCAAAAAACAUAGUUGAAAAGCUAAACCAGAGAAUUGUAACAACUUGCUUCUUAGGAGGCCCCCGGAAUUCAUCAUUGAUUCUAUGUUCAAGAAUCCAUACAACAGCUCCCACAAGAAGGAAAAAAAGUGCUGUAACAACCCACAUCCAUAAAGUAAAUGGUCGCAAGAAUGCCCAGGCACUUGAAUUCAAUUUCCUGACAGGAGCUACUACAACUAGCCCUGACUCUAUAUACGGCUGGGUGAAAUCCACAACCCUU
rnacentral:misc_RNA from 1 species